AACCCCACUGUCCAUCCCUCUGCUUCCUUCCUGUUCCUGCUGAACCCCACUGUCCAUCCCUCUGCUUCCUUCCUGUUCCUGUUGCCACGCCUUCGCCACCAUGAUGGAUCCUGUCUCUUGGAACAGCGAGCCCAAAUAACCUCCCCUUUCCUCAAGCUGCCAUUGCCAGGUGUUCUGACACAGCCACGACCGAGAUGGUUUUUGUGCAAGAAUCCAAACAAGAAGCUGGGCAAGGAUGCUAAAGAAACUGUCCUGUGGAGAUCCAAACUGCUCUCCCUGGAGAUCAACCACCACACCUCUGACAUGGCAGUGGACAAAUGCAGCACGUCACGGCUAAAGACAAGUUGCAAACAGAGAGUGGAAGGCAGGAAUUAUUCCUAAGGAAAGACUUGGGGAAGAGGUGUGAUGUGGCUGGAAGCGGAAGAAUCUUGGGAUUUCUGGGAGUUGCGGGGGGCGGGGGGGACGGAAACUGGCUAUGUACGUGCUGAUGGUGGGAAGCCCAGUAGAUGAACCCCAGCAGAGGCUGGGCCUACCAGCCGCCUAGCUCUUCUGAGCUACUAGGUACAACCUUGGCAUGCUUUUUACACAUCCUCCGCAGCCUCUAUACCUGGCAUGAGAAGGAGGACAAGAUGGCCACCCACUGGCCCUGGUGUUGUCAGCGUCUCAAUGAAAAGGCUUCACGGCCACCCACAAGCAUACAACAUAGUAAGAGCAAACAAGCCCAGAGAGGAUGCCUCUGAAGGCAGGGCCUACCCAAUGUCCUUCUUUAUACAGCCUUUGUGGACAGACAAGACUCCACAAUUUUCUAGCUGGGAGCUCCCUGUCCCUCUGUUUGCCUCACAGGCUGCUAAAAGGUGAGAGUUUCACAGCCAAUGCCAUCAGACCACAGGGCUCUUGUGGUAACAGCCCCUUCUCGGCCUCUGUCCCAAUUGUUAAUGUUAGUCACACAUACAGGGGUUAGGGCGGCAAAGCCAGAGUCACAGGUACUUUCUAUAAACACUGUAUGCCACUAUAAGAAGGUCCCAUCAACCAGACUCCAAAGUCUCAUUUGGUCUGGAUAUAGUCCUUUCUUAACCAUGUGACUAUCAGGUCAUGUGAUCAAGGAAGAAAGAAGCAGGCAGGCUCUGCUAGCUCCCAGAAAGGAACCGGAGGGAUGGUGAGGAAGCAGGGCCUGGGGUCCCAGUGGCCUUGGAAGGAGAGGACGGAAAUCCUGCCCACCCUAAACGUGGGCCACCUAAGUGUGAGGACAUCAAUAAAAAAUGGGAACAGUGUAAAACGCCA